rnacentral:rRNA from 1 species
UGGGGAAUAUUGGACAAUGGGGGGAACCCUGAUCCAGCCAUGCCGCGUGUGUGAAGAAGGCCUUAUGGUUGUAAAGCACUUUAAGCGAGGAGGAGGGUACUGGUAUUAAUACUACCAGGUACUGGACGUUACUCGCAGAAUAAGCACCGGCUAACUCUGUGCCAGCAGCCGCGGUAAUACAGAGGGUGCGAGCGUUAAUCGGAUUUACUGGGCGUAAAGCGUGCGUAGGCGGCUAAUUGAGUCGGAUGUGAAAUCCCCGAGCUUAACUUGGGAAUUGCAUUCGAUACUGGUUAGCUAGAGUGUGGGAGAGGAUGGUAGAAUUACAGGUGUAGCGGUGAAAUGCGUAGAGAUCUGGAGGAAUACCGAUGGCGAAGGCAGCCAUCUGGCCUAACACUGACGCUGAGGUAAGAAAGCAUGGGGAGCAGACAGG